GGACAGUCAGUUCCAUGCCUGGCAUGCUCUGAUAGCAUGCCCAUGAGAUAAGAAAGGGCAGGGCAGAGAAGAUGCAUGCUUCUCCGAAAACUACGGCCUUGCCCAAGGUCAGAAAGUCCCCCAAAGUAGGAGAGAAAAUAUCAAACACCCAUGGCACUCUCCCCCAGGCAAUAUGCAGUUCUGUCCAGUUCUCUCCGGCUCCCGCCAUCAUUUCCUCAGCAGCAAAACCUCCUCUACCGCCAGCCCUGUCUCAGGCUCCAUCCACCUGGGCACGCCCUCCACUGCCGUCACAGCCAGACCGACAGCUCCAGGCCCCAGGGGGGAUGAGAUGGCUGUGUGAGCAUGCGAGGGGGGUGCAUGACGGUCAGGGGGUGGACACGGCUGAGAAGUGCAGUGGGCCCGUGCAAAGCAGAAGCUGGAACCCAGGACCCCCUCGCAGCCACACACGGAGCCUCCCAGGAAGGAAAGAA